rnacentral:tRNA from 1 species
AAGGGUAUAGCUCAACUGGCAGAGUGCAUGCUUAGCAUGUGUGAGGUCCUAGGUUCAAUCCCUGGUAUCCCCU